GAUGAACGCUGGCGGCGUGCCUAAUACAUGCAAGUCGAGCGAACAGACGAGGAGCUUGCUCCUCUGACGUUAGCGGCGGACGGGUGAGUAACACGUGGAUAACCUACCUAUAAGACUGGGAUAACUUCGGGAAACCGGAGCUAAUACCGGAUAAUAUAUUGAACCGCAUGGUUCAAUAGUGAAAGACGGUUUUGCUGUCACUUAUAGAUGGAUCCGCGCCGCAUUAGCUAGUUGGUAAGGUAACGGCUUACCAAGGCAACGAUGCGUAGCCGACCUGAGAGGGUGAUCGGCCACACUGGAAUAGAGACACGGUCCAGACUCCUACGGGAGGCAGCAGUAGGGAAUCUUCCGCAAUGGGCGAAAGCCUGACGGAGCAACGCCGCGUGAGUGAUGAAGGUCUUCGGAUCGUAAAACUCUGUUAUUAGGGAAGAACAAAUGUGUAAGUAACUAUGCACGUCUUGACGGUACCUAAUCAGAAAGCCACGGCUAACUACGUG
rnacentral:rRNA from 1 species